UCCGUAGGUGAACCUGCGGAAGGAUCAUUACUGAGUUAGGGUCUUCUAGGCCUGAUCUCCCAACCCUCUGUCUACCUAUACCAUGUUGCUUCGGCGGGCCUGUCUGGUGGAUUCCGGACGGUCGGGGGGGUGUCACCCUCCUCCUGGCUUGUGCCCGUCGGUGGCCUACCAACAUAAACUCUUGAUGAAACUAUGUCGUCUAAGUCUUUAAAAUUAAAUGAAAAGCAAAACUUUCAACAACGGAUCUCUUGGUUCUGGCAUCGAUGAAGAACGCAGCGAAAUGCGAUAAGUAAUGCGAAUUGCAGAAUUUCCGUGAGUCAUCGAAUCUUUGAACGCACAUUGCGCCCUUUGGUAUUCCGAAGGGCAUGCCUGUUCGAGCGUCGUUAUCACCUCUCAAGCCCUGGGGCUUGGUGUUGGACCCCUCUCUAGGUCGGUCGCGAGACCUGACCGGUCCCAAAGACAAUGACGGCGUCCGGCGGGACCCUCGGUACAAUGAGCUUUCACCAGCACGUAUUCGAGUAUAACGGACCCCCGGACCCGGUCUCCCUUUUAUUUAUCUCAAGGUUGACCUCGGAUCAGGUAGGAAUACCCGUUGAACUUAAGCAUAUCAAUAAGCGGAGGAA
rnacentral:rRNA from 1 species